GGGGAGGGCACGCAGGCGGCUGGGAUCCACAGUCGUUGGUGUUAUGAGCAUCGAUGGGGACGGAGGGCAGAGGACUUGGGGGAUGCAUCCAUGAGUUGGUUUUUAAUUGGCUUUGGUUUGGGUCAGAACUAUGGUGUUAGUGGGGACUAUAAAGCACCACCACAGAGAUGCUUGGGCAGUUGUAAACGGGAGCAUGGUCCACUCCGAAGGGCACCCGACCUAGUGAGAGACUGAGCCUUGUUAAUGUCACAGCAGAGUCUGACCAUGCAGGGGGCUUGGAGGUUGCAGGGGAAGUAGGAAAGAGUCUACUUGUUAAAAAAAGUGAAUCUUCAAAAACCACACACAGUUAAGAAACCAAACCACAUGGAACAGGUUACAGGUCACACAGAGAAGGAACAGGAAGGAGAGACGGUUGGAUGAGGUGGGAUGAGAGGACACACGAGGGCCAAACAGAGAAGGGGACAUCAAGCCGAGGCAGCAGAGCAAAGCAAAGCCAGGGAAGGCUUUCUGAGGUGCAGGGCUGCAGCAGCCGAGAAGCACAGAGGAGCCGCACACAGGACGUUGGGGGUAGGGAGCAUGCCUUAGGAAUCGGGCCACACGCACACACACCGACACACUGCUACACUUGGAAGCCUGCACAAUGUGAACGAAGUCGUUUGUGCCCAGCGCCUCUUUCCUUCAUGCAUUUGGGAGGUAAACACUCGAGUAUGGGCUCAAAGCCCUGGCCAGCCAUUGCAGCUUGCUAAGGAGCUCCCUUGUUUCCUGGAGUUUGGGGUUUAUUGCUCUGUUUGUGUUCUGAAAACACAAUACCAAAAAAGAAAAGAAAACAAAACAAAAGACAGAGGCCAGAAGUGGACAGCCAACCCUGAGAUCCCCUCCAGGUUUUGGGAUGCGGGGGGGUUCGAGGGUUUGGUACUGCACCAUAGUAAGCCAGGAACCUUAGGUCCUUAGGCCUUUAUUCUCUCUAAGGAUGGGAAGAGCCUGACCUCUGGCCUCCAAGGCUGGUGCAAAGAGCCCUGGGUUUGGAAUAUAACAGGGUGCAGGGGGACAGGAACUAUGCUUUGUGUCUUAUGGGACUGAUGGGACUUGCUCUCUUCACAGUGCUGGCUCAGAGUAGGGCAAAAGAGAAAACACAAGAUGGCCUGAUGCUACCAACUCAUCACGUUUCAUAUGGCCUUGGCCAUGGGGGCCAGAAGGCGGUUGUGGGAAGGUCCUUGGAGUCCUAGCUUAGCGCUCUAUUGAGCCAGGGAGCUCCUGUGUGGGCCUGGUUAAGGAGAUCCCUGUUUCCAGAAGAAACUUUUAGGUGGCUCCAAUUGUGGGCGGAGCCCGUGUCACGGCCAAGAGAUGGCUUUCCGUUUCUAAAUGCGCUGGCAUUGGCCAGUUCCCUGCUUGGGCUGUGCUGUCUGACUCUUUCCGCCAGUCAGCUCUUUUCUUUUGCUGCCAGUCUUCUUUUACCUACAGCUUCCACUUGCCUUCUGAAGAACAUUCUGUCCCUUCUCUCUCCACACUAGUGACCCCAGAGAACUCUGCUUGUCGGAUCUGAUCCGGGCAAGCUGGAGCCAGUAAAGGCAGACAGGCUGAGUGCUGCUGUUCUAUUGAUACUCUUGGCUGUCUUUGUCUCUGCAUUUCCUAGGCAGCUUCUAAACUGUUCAUUUUCUGAUCUAAUAAAUAAGCUAUCAAACCCUUGGAAAUGAUAAGAAUUUAAAAAAGGUAUAGCCUUAGUUUGCUUAUCUUUUCUCUCUUUCUUUGCUUUAAGGGAAGGUCUAAUAUAACCUAGGCUGGCCCUGGCCAUGAACCUCUCAUUCUCUUUAUCUCUACUUCUUGAAUAGUUUUCUUCUUGUGCUAGCUGAACACUAGGCAAAACCCAGCUGCUGGCUUCCUCAUCUGCAAAAUGGGAGUGCAAAUGUCCCGUCCCUGUAUCUGUCUGUCUGGUGCUCUGACUUCUGAGGCUGACUUGCCAUAUAACACUGGCUGGCUGGCUAGAAUGCCUACCAUAUGAAGGAAGUUAAGGGACAGUGGCAAGCCCUUAUCAUGUGACUGACAACGCAGAGGGACGACACACAAUGAGAUGAGGCCCCGCCCCCUCCCCCUGGCAUGGAGACAACAGAAGGAAUGAACUGCUCUGGACAGGACUGUGGGGACAAGACUUUUGGGGACACCCCGCCAUGGCCAUCUCAAGACUCCACUUCGGUUUUUCUCUGCAGCUGAAAUGGAAAAAAAAAAUAGGGGAAGAAAAAACAAAAACAAAAGCAAAAAUCUCUUCCAUCUCCCUGUCCUGCCUACUCUAAAGAUGGGGUUUCAGGACAGAAGACUUGUGGGGAUGUGGGGGCAGGGAACAAGGCGGGGCCAGUCACUUUCAACAGUCUGAGGGACCUGGAGCUCUUGGCCACUGGGAUCUCUGGGGAGGCAGAAGCCUUGCUCUGAGAUGGGCUCCGCAUACUCGAAUGUUUACCCGGCUUCAAGGAAGCCAAGCGUCUGGGAUUGAUUCACAGUCGUUUCAGGCUCAAGGGUAAAGACUCACAACCUCUUUAAAUUUCACUCUCUCUUGCUGAACUCUGUGUCCAGGGUUCUCUAGCCCUCUAGGAAACAAAGACAUGGAAUAUUCAGACAGUCGGAAAGCUCAAGGGUCCCCCCAGAAGCAAGCCAUUUCCUUGCCAACCCAAGCUCGCACCAAAUUAGUUACCAAAAUGCUAAGGAGCAAACCCAGCUUUCCUCUUUGCCACUGUCUGCAUGGUUCCUCACCACAAAUGUCACAUACACUGGCAGUUCCUGAAACCCAAGUCUAAAGGUGACAUGGGGCCCUUGGGUGGGGCUGUGUGUGUGUUUGUGUGUGUGUGUGUGUGUGUGUGUGUGUGUGUGUGUAGAGCCUUGCCCUUGACAUAGUGGGGUUGAAGUAACAUUCAGUGUGGAGCCUCUUCAGGCUUUUGGAGGACAGAGAUGGCUUGAGACAAGUGAGGACCUGAGGAGGAUGAAGAGGAGGCUGGGCCUGGAUGGAUGAACUUGGUGCUGUCCUGGUUGACCAGUGGAGGUAUUCUAUUACUCUGGGCUAGAGGAACGCCAGUGGAUACAGCCUCUCUAUUUUCCACAAGUAGGGUGAUGGAAGGGGUGUGCCUUCUCCUCUGGAAGGCUAUGGGCAUCAUCAUCGGCUCCCGGAUCUAAUGCCAUCCUCUGUGCUACUGAGUCAGGCCUGUCUGGAAAGUGUUGUAGAGCGGAGCAUGAGGGGCUUCAGGACACACUCCUAUUGUCUCCCUUGCUUGUGGUCUUGGUCUCUGGCGACCCUGGGAAAGCCUCCUCUCCUCAUGGUGAGAUGUAUGUGAAGUGAAGGAAGUGGAACUGUUGCCUUGAACCUCUGGGUGGAAGCCCAAAUUCAAUUUUGAGUCAGGAUGAGAAAAGCUUGCAGCUGCCCUGGGUUCUCUCCCAAAUGCUCUGGUCCCAUCCCAACUGAUCAUGUCUCCCCAUGUAUACUGUCUACCUGGGGUCAUCUAACUGCUGUGCCAUGGAGGGGUGCACAGUGGGCUCUCCAACAGAAGCUCCCCUAUCCUACCCCUUUGUGAUAAACUUUUAAUGACAUAAAGGAAAGAGAUAACCCCUGGAGUUUGCCUCAGCAGGCAUGUGGCCAGUCCUCCGUUGGGGAGAUCUUGCAGAGUGUGGUGGCCCAGUUCCAUCUACCUUUCUGCUUUCUGUUUACCUAUUGGACCUUCUUCCUAUCAGAAGAAAGCAUUUUGUCCUCUGAAGGGACCUUGCCUGAUAUCUAGGGGGUCUUCAGAUUCCCAGGAGAGCAGAAGACAGAAGCUAUUCAGGCAGAGGAUGAGAGGAUGUCUAUUUGAUAUCUGACUGUGAUCAAAUAUCAGAUCACACUGACAGCAGUCGGCAGAGGAAUGGUCUGGAUGUUGAGAGCUCACACCCAACGAAGGGCCCAAAGAGAUGAAGAAUUACAAACUGGAGUUUAGAGCAGAGGAUACCAGAGGGAGACUGUUAAGGUGUACAGGUGACAGUGGGGAGGACCAAGGGAGCUUGCACAAUCUCCCUCGGUCCUGAGGGAAUGAAGGAUGAUGGGCCAAGAUGGUAGAGGAGCCCACCUCGGCUUUCUUCUAUGACUCCUCUAAAGUUAGGGUUACAUGGAAUGAAGGAGGGAUAGAUAGGUUUGUCUGGAGACAAGAGCGUGGGGCACACAGGCCUGUCUACAGAAGCGAGGGAGGGACAGGCUCCUUGAGGGUUCUGUAUUGGUGUGGAAGGAAGGGUGAGAAGGAAGAUGCUGGGGUGAGAGAGUGGCUCUGUUCUAGAAUGUGACUCCAGAGUAACCUUAGAGGAUACACGGGUGCUGGGGAAUGCCGCAUGAAAGAGGUGAACCAGGACGAGGAAAAAUAAAGCUGUGCCCUGCAGCCAGACUCCUAGGCCAGAACUCAGGGUGAUGCAGGGGUCACCAACAAGGAUAUCUCCAUGGGAACACUUGGUGACUACACUUCAAGGUGGAAAAUGCCAAGAAAGGCCAGAAUUGGGUUGAUGUGACAGGGAGGAAGGAAAAGCACGGGUCAUACACAAAGGUGAGGAGGAUGUCUGCUCUGGAGGGAAAUCCCUACUCUUGAUUUCUCAGGGACUCAGGCACCAUGUGCUCAGGUGUGCCUCUGCCUUGUUGAGACUAAUUUUAUGUCAGUGGGAAACGCCAUUGGGCAACCUUGCCAUCCUCUAUGCCAGGGAGGGUGGCACCCGUGAGACGGUCACAGGACACCAGCCUAGGCUACCAACAGGUUCCUAGUAAUCUGUGCAUCCUGCUGGAGGCCCUAAUAGAAGAACAGAGCCUCCCUGCUCAGUGGCAGGAAGAUGUGAUGCUGGGUGUCCUGGUUUGGAAUGGGCACAGGGACACUUUAUAAUGUAUCAAGAGGUGGAGUCUAUUUCUCAUCAAAGAACUUGAAGGCUGGCUGGGGUAGCACACAUGUUCUGUCUGUUAAGAGGCUAGAACUGAGGCUCCAUGCACUUUGGGAAGGCUUGAAUGGCAGCAGACAGGAAAUAUAGAAGGAAUCUUUUGUUGCCUGAGGUCUUGGACAGGUCCAGCAAAGAAGUAGACAGAGCCAGAGACCAGAAGCCCUAGGUAAGAGACAGUGGUAUGGGUAGAUAUAUUUGGCAGAAGGAAGAUAAGACUUUGGGGAUUUAGUUCAGGUAGUAGGGUGCUUGCCUGGCAAGCAUAGGCCCUGGUUUUGGUCCUCAGCUCUGGGGCAGGGGAAACAAAACAAAAAGGAACCCCACCUCCCCCCAAAUAAGGUAACUGGCAGAAGGAAGACGAGGAGGUGAGAAUUCCAAGCUACCUCUCAUAUAAGAAAAGGAUACCAAGGUUAGACCAGCUCCUUUGGGAGUAGCUGGCAUGCAGGCAAGAUGUGUGUACCCCACUAUUUUCUACUUGAGAUCAGCUAGACGGAACAGAAGCCUUGUCUCUACCAGGAAGGGGUCAGGACGUCAGCGUGCUCCGCUCUUUGUGGGAGAAGGGCUGGUAAGGCAGCUGAUGUGUUCAGUGUACAAGCAGAGGAUGCAGGUGGUCCUGGAAUGCUCCCCCAUUCCUGGCUGUGACAUCUGACCUGCAGUGACUGCCUAUCUCAUAUGGUCACUCUUGUGUUGAGCCCCCACUGUGACUGACCGAAGAAGCUUCAACACUGCCAGACCUUUCUUCAGGGACCAAGCUUUUCCUGACAAGGCCACAGUUUCCCCACUACCGAAACAGAACGACAUGUGUGAAGCCAGACGUCGGCUGUGAGCCAUGGCGUGUCCAGAAGUUGGUGACCUAAGUACAGAGGGGUGAGUACUAGGGUGCUCACCCACGAAGAGCAGGGUGAAGAUGAGGGUUAGCUGGUAGACGGCGUGGCCCAGGAUGUUCUUCAUCAUGGUUCUCGAGAUGAGCGGCUUGUUGCGGCCGUAAGGUUUCCUCAGGAGCAGAGUCUCGGUGGGUGGCUCUGUUGCCAGGGCCAGGGAAGCAAAUGUGUCCAUGAUGAGGUUCACCCAGAGCAUCUGCACCGCCUUGAGAGGGGAGUCCUGCAACAGUGGCAGAGAGAAGACUGUCACAGGGUGAGCCACCACAGCUGCAGUACAGGACGGACCGCUGCGGCGUCUCGGCGGGUUCCUACCACAGGAUGCAGGCUGCCCAGGCUUUGGUGCUCUGAGUGUGUACAUCACAGGCUCCUGGAGCUUCUAUGGAGAACAGUAUGAACUGCCCACCUCGGUCCUGGGCCCACAGGCUCGACGGCCACAGCUCCCUGACUUCUGUAGACUCAGCCACGUCUUCUUUUAGUCCCCUCACGUUUGAAGCAACAUCCAUUUUCUCAACUCCCUGCAGUCUCUGCCCUUCAGUCUCAGAGGCUCAGGUCUCUCCUAUCCUGGAGACAGCGUCCUUGACCUCUACUCCCAAUUCCACCUUAUUUCUCAUCGUCUUCUAUCUCAAUGGCGUUUAUAACUACAACUCCAAAAGAAGUGCUCCGACAUGGUAGGACGUCUGUCAAGUAAGCUAAAACACAGGUUAUCACUAUAAGCAUGCCAGUGCGGACACUGUCAGAUCCGCUCUGCGAGGUCCAGGCUGGACAGCAUGUGCUUCGUGCACACGGACUGAAGAGGCCAAGCCGCUUCAUUCAUCUUCCACUCCUCAUAACCACAGGCCUAGUCUACAGCAGCCAGAGCCGGCCUCACCCAGAAUCCUCUGUCCCUCACCAUUGAAUCUACCCUUGAUUGUCACCUGGCCCAUGGAGCACCCCUUCAGGAAGCCCUCCCUCUCUGAAAGCCUAACAGCGUCCUGUCUGUCUGCCUUCUCUGUGCUUCCCAGGCUGUUUUGCCACCUCACCCCCUGCCUGGUAGGGCUGCUCUGGGCUUUCUUCUACUUUUCCGCCUUAUCUGAUUACAAGAUUCUCAGAGUCGGGUGUGCAAUUUUCCCACCAAAGCCUGCAUGGCCCUGCUUACUCAGGGAUGUUGGGCCAACUGAUCCUUGUCUCCAAACCUGUUUUCUUACUGGCAUCCGUCCAGUGUCCAGGAAGCUGUCAUGGCAAUAUCUCUAAGGCACCACUAGAGGGAGCCUUUCACCCACAGAAAAGAGGCCCCCUAAGCAGACAGGGAACCCUUGAUCCAACUCAGGUCUGAGCUGGCACACAUGGUCAGUACUGCAGUCACCAUGAGCAUCAUCAUUGUGGAGGUCACAACAGGCGGAAACUGUCCUAUGGACUGUGUGGCUCUUGGGGACAGCUGCACAUUAGACUCUGGGUUCCCCUAUGGGUAGGUGAUUGUGUAACCAGGUAGUGACUGAGAGGAGUCAGGCCUCUGAGACCCUCUUAGAGCUGAAGUCCCUCUCCUUCCCCAGACCAGAAAGCCAGCUCCUGGGAGACGGAGUCUGGUUACAUUUUCAGGAGACGUCAGGAGCCAGAGUGAGUGUCUGAACAUUCUCUCCUCCCAGCUUGCCUCUACCUCGGUGAAACGGUACUUACUCCACCUGACUCCACGUGUCUCAGCAAGCAGCCAGCUGAGGGCCCAGUAGCAGUGAUCCGGACAGACAGACCUCACUGUCUCCUCUACCCACUCAGUCUCUCCGAAUCCACUCUACUCCAGAGCGAAGGUCCUACACAGCCUGACUGGCUCUGGGUCCCCAGCUGGGCAGCUGAUCUCCCUAGGGCCUGCACUGCCUCUGUCCCAGUUUCUGCCAGCCUUUGGAGCAAGGGUCAGGCUGAUGCGGGUGGACAGAAGGACAUAAGGCCUGAUAUCUCUCAUUUCUGGGGCCACCUGAGUCACAGUGGACUCCAACAUCAUGUCUCUACUGCAAAAGGCUGGUGGCUGCAUGGAGGUCCAUGGUCUUAGGGGGAACACCACUAUGUCCUGGAGACCGAAGGCUGCCCUUUCCCAGCCUGUGGUAUGAUUCUCCCAGGACCCACCUGUGUAAUGCAGGCACCCGUGAAGGCCACGAUCACAGCCACCACAUUGACAGUCAGCUGAAACUGCAGGAAUUUGGAUAUGCUGUCAUAGACAUUACGGCCCCACAUCACUGCCUUAACGAUGCUGCUGAAGUUGUCGUCUGUCAGGAUGAUGUCUGAGGCCUCCUUGGCCACAUCCGUGCCUGCGAUGCCCUGUGGAGAUAGGGGCAGGAGCAUGGUAGGGCAGCCGGGGAGGUGAGUGGUUCCAUCUGGACAUUCUUACCUCUGUACAGCCUUAGUCAGUCCUGUGCACCUCACCCCUGAUCCAAAGGAACCAUCACAGUCAGAUCAUGCACACACACAUGUGUAUGCAUACACGCAUACAGACUUGGACACAUAUACAGGCAUGCCAGUGCUCACACAGCCACACCUGGGAAGCCUGGCCUCGCCCUACUCCUCCUUGACCUUUAAGCACCCAAUAGGACAGAGCUGAUCCCAGCAGGACACUGCCUGCCCCCUCCAGGAAGACCUGUGAGGCUAGGCUGGGGCUCAAACGCUUUGGUUGCCUACAAAGUGGCUAGAGAGGGAUGAGGGUUAAGUGUAUGUAGGGAGUCUCACAAGUCAGUUUAAAGUGGCGUAGUCCAAGCUUACUAUCCUCGCCUUUGAGACCCAACCUCACACCACCUUCUUCAGGAUACUCUUACCAUCGCGAAGCCCACAUCUGCCUUCUUGAGAGCAGGCCCAUCGUUGGUCCCAUCCCCUGUCACAGCCACCACCUGCCGCUGCUCAGUGUGUGUGCUGUCGAUGAUGCCUAGUGGGUAAGAGGGUAGGCUCAGGGCCCAUGGCCAGCCCUGACUGUCCCCUUCCAUCACUGCCCUUCCCAGCCUGUUCAGAACCAUCAGGCUCCUCAUUAGCCCAGGUUGGCUCAGGGCUUCCCAUUCUCCAGCGUUGUCUGCUCCCACAGUCCUUUGCCGAACUACCUAGAAGCACAGUCCUUUAGCUAACCCAGACCCAUGAGUUCUCUGCAUUUUCAGGGACUCCCACGUCUGCUUUCCAGAAUGUUCUACCUGGGAGCUCCAGUCACACAUGGGGAGGCCAUGACUGUGCCAUUUGCUAUCCUACCCCCUUGGCCUUGAUCUCUCUCUCUACAUACAUCUUCAAUGAAUUAGUUGGUAAGAACCAGAUUGAACACAACCGUGCCUGCCCCUCAUGUCAAAGCUGUAGGCAUUGCCCUGUCUCUACCAAACAAACAGCAGCCCGUGGAGGCAGGGAACAAGUUCCCAGUUAGGGGUACCAUUCCCUCUAACCCUCGACAAAGGCACUUUCUAUGCCUGAUUCCUCAGGGUUAUCCUGGCUAUUCCCACUAGCUGGCAGCCAGUCCAAAUCCCACCGUCUCUGGCUUGGCCUGUUUGGAUUCCUAUCCCUGGACUUGGCAGGUCGGUCUCUGACUCGCCUGGUUCCUUGGCCAGCACUGGGCUCCUCCGAGGCAAGGAACUCACUGGGCCCUAUACUGCAUGGUUCCCUGGGGAGCCUCCUUGUCUCUCCUGUCCUCUCAGCAGCUGGUCCUACAGUGGAACAUACUCUUCUCUACAGGCUUCUGUACUGGCUGGUUUUUGUGUGCCAACUUGACACAAACUGGAGCUAUCACAGAGAAAGGAGCCUCCAUUGAGGAAAUGCCUCCAUGAGACCCAGCUGUAAGGCAUUUUCUCAACUAGUGAUCCAGGGGGGAGGGCCUAGACCCUUGUGGGUGGUGCCAUCCCUGGGCUGGUGGUCUUGGGUUCUAUAAGAAAGCAAGCUGAGCAAGCCAGGGGAAGCAAACCAGUAAGUAGCAUCCCUCCAUGGCCUCUGCAUCAGUUCCUGCUUCCUGAUCUGCUUGAGUUCCAGUCCUGACUUCCUUUGGUUAUGAAAAGCAAUGUGGAGGUGUAAGCUGAAUAAACCCUUUCCUCCCCACCUUGCUUCUUGGUCAUGAGGUUUGUGUAGGAAUAGAAACCCUGACUUAGACAGCUUCCCUCCUGGGUACCUUCCACCCCUGGGUACCUCCUCCUCUGCCUGUCUCUCUGGUCUCUAAUGGUCUUCUUUCUACUGUCACUCAGGUGGGUGCCCUGGGUUCUGGGGAUUCCCUUCUCCUCCCCCUAUAUGCCCAUCCCCCCUAGGGCUCUAAUUGAGGCCCACAAAUUCUUGACAAUGGUUGUCGACUGCAGAUGGUACUUCUAGGCCAUCAGAGACCCUGUAAGACAUUAAAUGAUCAGCAUCUUAUGAGCUCUGCCAUGCCUGUCACCCAGGUAAUGGGGGUGGGCCUGUACCAGGGUCUGAUAGGAGCACUCUGUGGGAUUCUCUGCUGUUUCUCCACACUGUAUCCAUACACAACCUAUUUCGACUCGUGUAACCACACAUAGUACACCACCCAUUCUUACUGCAGCUGUCAUAUUUGGAAGAUCCCAGUGACCCCUCUGCCUUCAUUCAGGUCACACUCCCAAAGCAGGAGGAGUUUCCUAAAUAACAUUCGUCCUCUCCUGGCCCUUCAUUGUAUCCCUCUGCCCCAUGCAGUGACACUACCAUUGGCUUGCCAUGGCCAAAGUCAACCCCCCACCCCCAUUUUCCUCUCCCUGACAUCAGGGGCUCUGCAUAGUGUAGUUCCCUGUGCUGUCUGGAUCAUAGAGCUUCCCUCCACUCCUGGUCCCAGGGCUUCACAUCUUCCACAGCCUGAGCAAGAGUCCAGUGGCUGGAGCAGAACAGCCUCUUGCACUGUGUAGGGGUCAGAUAUGGUGCCUGUCCUGUGAGCCUGUUCUGUCCAUGGUGAAGGACCAGCUGGAGCACACAGUAGGUCCUCCAUAAAUGCUCAGUGAAAGAGUCAGGGAGUGAACUGCGGAGUCGGUGAGGAGUGAGGGUGAGCUAGGCCCUCUGCUGUGGAGUCAGUAGUCUGUCUCCAACUUUAAGAUGCAUGACUCUAAGGUGCCUAGGGAUGAUCCCAGGCAGAACUAAAAACUACACCUUCUAGCCAUUUUACAGAUGGAGAAACUGAGGCCCAGAGCAGACAGACUUGUCAAGGCCUCAGAGAGGGUAGGAGGGGAACUAAGACCCAGGGCUGUGACACAGGAAGGCUCAUUGGGGUUGCUGAGGCUUUGUGAGUGGUGACCCUCUAGUGGGGGAGGGGGAGAUGUUGUAGCCUCUGCUAUUCCUGGGACUUCUCAUCCUCUGGGUCUGCCCACAAGGGUUGGUUGGAAGCUUCCUGGGCUGGAGGAGGAAGAUGGAAUGUCUUUCAGAUGACAAAGAACAGCACAUUUCACCAUGCCAUGAGAGAGCGGACUCCUGAAGGGCUGCACAACAAAGGCUUUAUGCACAUGGACUAGACCACCCAGGCCCAGGCCCACUGCCACCUAGAGGAGGUUGGAGCAUCAGAAGAGCGUCUCACAGUCUCCUGAUGUCCCUUUCCCCCAGGGGCUUCUGCAGUCCUCCCAAGGUUGAUAAGGAACACAUCAGAAGACCCCCAGGAGAGGAGAAUCCCUUUCCCCCUCUGUGCUGUGUAGCCUAUGCUGUCCAUAGUGAAAGACCAGCCAGAGCACACAGUGAGGAAGCUGCAAUGCCAUGCAAGUUGGACUUGGUUUAGGCUGGGUUAGUUCUGGGCUCAGAAUUACCAUAGGUACCCCAGGCUUACCUUUGACCAGGGUGUGCUUAUCCGUGGGCGAGGAUCGAGCCAGCACCCUCAGCUUUGGCCAGAUCUUGUCAAUCCGCUCCUGCUCAAUCUGGAGAGGGGUGUGGUAUGUCGGUAGGGUCUCAGAGAGAAAUCGAGCCCCAUGUAGAGUCACUGGGCUCUUCAGGGCACAUCAGCUGGCUUCUGUUCAAGCAUGCAGGGCCCAUGCCUCCCGGCCCCCUCUCGAGCUUGGCCCGCUGUAGCGCCUUUGCUGUGGGCGCAUGCGCAUGCGUACCUCCCCCUUCUCGUUGCGGAUCCUCCGAUUGAAUUCUUUGCCUUCCAGGCACAGGAAGUCCUCUCCAGGGUGGAUAAUGCCACACUUGAUGGCGAUGGCCCGGGCUGUGUUGAUGUUGUCACCGGUGACCAUGCGGACUGUGAUACCGGCCCGCUGGCACUUGCGGAUGGCUUCUGGGACCUGUACGAGAGGGCCGUGUGCUAAGAGAAGGGACAGAGAACAGAGCUGGGAGAGCUGCAAGGGACACUUGACACAGACAUGUUUGAGAGCAGAAGGCGCCUGACCCUGUUGCAUGAAGACCUGAAGCUUAGAGAACUGAGCAGACCUAGUUCCCAGGUUACUCAUGGCCCGUUUCCUGAGCUCGCUGUCGUCAGGGCCUACCUCAGGUCGCACUGGGUCUUCGAUGCCCACCACGCAGAUGCAGGUGAGUUCAUUGAGAAUGUCAUUCUCAUUGUCCCAGUCAGGCUCAGGGCUGCUGGGGAAGUCACGAUAGGCCACACAGAUGGUACGGAGCCCGUCACAGGCCAUGGGCUCGAUCACCUUCUUAACCAUCUCAUCCCUGUCACGGGGCCGGAAGACACGGGGCUCCCCUGCCCCACUGAGAAUCUUGCAGCACCUGGGGGUGGGAAGGGAAGGAGAUAAAUGAGGCCCACCUACUUUGGUCAUUAAAUACCCACCCAAUCCGCUUCCCAUAAUGCCUCAGUGCACGCAGUAGGCCUGGGGUGCAACCAGGUGGUCUUUUACGAUAUUUGCCCCAGGUCCCUGUCUCCUUUGUGCAGUGUUUGGGAGGUUCCAAUUACCAAGGCAAACAGUACCAUAGAUGGGAUGCUUGGGAAGCCCUAAACCCAGACUAGUGCUUUGCUGCCUUGCUUGGGUAUCAGGCUUGCCGGAGGAGCAUCUAAUAAAACAAAGGUGUAGGCCAGCCUUCAUGGUUCCAGUCGGAACUGUCUGGGGUAAGACAGGAGUCAAUGGUCUAUUUCUCUUUUCUUCCCUCCUAUCCUUCUUGUGCUCUCUCUCUGAGAGAGGGUCUCGAUAUAGACCAGGCUGGCCUCGAACUCAGAGCUCCUCCUGCCUCUGCCUCCCGAGAGCUGGGAUUAGCAUGCACCACCACUGCUCAGUUUCUUUUGUCUUCAUUGAGGUGACUACAAGUCAGGGUUGAAAAUCUCUGGGCCUGAGCAGUGUACAAGUGGGGAAACUGAGGUGCAGGGGGAAGUGACUUGCUUAGACCCAGCCUGCUUGGGGAUGGCGGCGUGUGACACCCACAGCUGGGCGGGGGAACUUACUUUUUGAGCACAAUCUCCGAAGCACCUUUGCUGUACAUGCGGAAGCUCUCGUCAGGCAUCUUGAUGACGGUGCUCAUGGACUUGCGCACAGAGUUGAAGGUGUACACCUUAUACAGCUUUUCCUCUGGCAUCUGGCUGCGUACCGGCUCGUAAUCCUGCCUCAGGUCCAGCACGAAGCCCAGCAGGCCACACUCUGUCUUGUUGCCCACCUGCCGGGGCAGGGCGCCCUCUUUUUCUGGGGGCUGUGGAGAGAGGUGGGUGGCUUGUGCAGGACUCACCACAGAGGAGUCACGGACCUGGAUUUCAUUUUGACCCCGAGGCUGCUGCAUGGCUGGGCCUCCGGGAAUCCAGGGCCUCUGGUGACUAAGAUGUGGGCCUCUGAGACAUUUCAGGGCAGUCCUGGUUCUGGGGUUGGUCAUUAAGAUUUUUUUUAAAAUUACGAAUGGUUUCUGUUCUAGUUUGCUUUCUAUUAUGAUUAAAAAAAAAAACUAUGACUAAAAUGGUAUAGUGGGGAGAAAAUGGUAUAUUUUAGCUUACAUGUCCUGAUCAUAGUCCAUCAUUAAGAGAAGCCAGGGCAGGAACUCAAGGCAGAACCUGGAGGUAGGAACUGAAGCAGAAGCCGUGGAGAACGGUGUUUAAUGACUUGCUCCUCAUGGCUUGCUUAGCUUGCUUUCUUACACAACUCAGGACAAUCCAGGGAUGGCACCUCCCACAGUGGGCUCUCCCACAUUAGUCUUUAAUCAAAGAAAGAAAUGCCCCAAAAGCUUGGUCACAGGCUGAUCUAAUGGAGGCAUUUGCUCAUUGGCGUUCCUCUACCUAGAUGACUCUAGCUUGUGUCACAUGGACACAACCAACAGCACAUUAUACAGCAUAAAAAAUGACAGUGAUGUAAGAGAUAGACAGCGUCAGACGUGCUUCAAACCCGUUUUGAGACUGGGUCUGUCUCAUGUAGCUCAGGCUGAAUUUGAACUUGCCACACAGCCAAACAUGUCCUUAAACUCUUGAUCCUCUUGCCUCUAGCUCUCAAGUGCUGAGAUUACAAGUGUGUGCCAAAAUGUCUGGGCAGAUUUUUCUUUUCUUUUUUUUUCCUUUUUUUUUUUUUUAAAGUUGAACCCGUCUCUGUAUUUCUCAUCUGCAGAAUUUACCAUUUGACCCAGAAUUGAUCUCAAUGUUUAAUUUGUUUUUAAUCAUCACUAGGUGUGUAUUUUGGCAUUUUAUUUUAAGGUAACUGUUGAUGAAAACUAACACAGGAGGUCCUCCAGUGCUUUCCUCACAGCUCCUCCCAGUGUUAGCCUCUCGCAUCGCCGUAGCAACAGUAUCACAACAAGGCAGGGACACAGCACCCUCAAUCACAGCAACCUCACUCAGACCCUCAUGCACACAUUCGUAUUUCCUUCUUUAUCAGGGCACGACAUGAAUUCCUAGAAGCAUCGCAAUGUCUAAGGAGAGUUUACCACAUGUUCUUGUCUCUUCCUUUGACAGCCACAGUCUGCCAUCUCUCUGCCUCUAGCCACCAGUCUCCACACCUCUGGUCGCCUCAUCUCUCUUUCUCUUUUGGUGUAGAUCUUUGUACAUGAGAUAAGUCCCUAGCCCAUGUCAGCCAUGUUACACAUGGUACCUACAGGAGAGCACACAGGAUGCCAUUGAUGGAGAUUGACAUUUUUACUCAGCAUAAGCCCCUUGAGAACCAUGCCUUUCAGUCCACGGUGUGGGAAGACCUUCUUCAUGAUUGUGAUUUACGUUAGAACGUACAGAAGAGCUAUUUCUGUUACAUCAAAAAAAAAUGGCCAAACAGGGCUGGAGAGAUGGCUUAGCUGUAUAGUGCCUCACACAAAACAUGAGGACCCGAGUUUAGACUUCCAGCACCCAUAUAAAAACCUGGGAGUGGCGGUGUGUACUUGGAAUGCCAGUGCUGGGGAGUCAGAGACAUCUGAGACUCUCUGAGCUUGCUGGCCAGACAGCUGGGCAAAAUUGGUGAGCCCAUCUUCUAUGAGAGACUCUGUUUCAAAAAGUAAGGUAAAGCGAGGCAUGGCUUUAAUCCCAGUCAGUACCCAGGAGGCAGAGGCAGGUUGAGCUCUGUAAGUUUGAGGCCAGCCUGUCUAUAGUGAGAUCCUGUCUCAACCAGUCCACCAACUAACCAAUCAAUAAAUAACAAUUGAGGAAGAUAUCUGGUAUUGACUUCUGGUGGUACACACGUGCAGGCACGUGUACACACACACACACACACACACACACACACACACACACACACACACACAAUGGCCUUGUGUGGGCAUGCAGCUGUGUCUUGCUUGCUGAAAGCUUCCUAUGAGGAGGCUGACCCCCUGCUCCCACUCAGCCACUCCACAGUCUGUCUGUGAGGCUGGCUUGUGUUUGCUCCUCCAGUAUGCUCCUUUGGAACCAUUCUCCAAAUAAACACAACAGACUCGUCCUUUCUCCUGGUUCCACUCUCUUUCCCUUCACUCCACUUGCUCCUUUGACACAUCAUCCUUCAGCACCUGCUGAAGGGGCACCUCCCAUCCCAGAGGCCUAGAAAAAUAUGGGCUGCUUCUAAAGAGUCUCUUUCCCUUCCCUGGUGGGCAAAGUCCUUCUCUUCCUUAAGGACAAACUUAAUUAUCUCCUUGGAUUUGAAAACAGCCAGCAUGGGUCCAUCUCAUGUAUUUUAAUUCCCUCUUAGUUCCCAGGGUGAGCAUGGAGCCCAGCACAUAGUAGGUGCUUACCUACUGUUCGCUGAUGGCCCAAGGUGGACUAAUUGGCUGGGAACGAUGUAGGACAGUUGGGUCAGUAUAAAAUGCUUGCACAUGGGCACUAGGGGUGGGGUUAACACAUGACUGCUGGGAGUAUAGCUCUGCAAAUGCACACACUCCCUCCUGCAUCCCCCAACCCCAGACACCUACCUACCCACCUCACUAAAAAUUACCAUGUCGCUACUUGGGUGGUGAGCCCUCUGGAACAGUAAUGGCUGCCAGACAUAACCUUAGGAGAUAUUUGAAGAGGAACAAAUAGCAAUGGUAUAUCUGUGUGCCCUCUACCUCAGAAGUGGCUUUGCCUGGGUCUCAGACCAGUCCUGUAAAGGGGGCUUUUUGAAUCCCUACCUUUACCCUCCUUGAUAUUGCCCAAGAGAGCAUCAGAGCCAAGAAAAAGGUGGAUUCAAGAUGCCAGCCUGGGGGCUGCCAGUAAUACCAGCUCCAAGGGAUCUGAUGCCCUCUCCUGGGCCCUAUAGGCACAGGAUACACAUGCGCACCUAUGCAAACACAUAUGCAAAGCCAGCCAUGGAUGCACAGAAAUAAAACACGAUAAAACCUAAUUUAAAAAGAUGCUAGUCUGUGCCAGCAGCUCAGGGUUAGGGUGGCCCCCUCCAUUAUUGGUGGGGCAUCUUUCUGGCUUAUUCUCUACUCUUGAAGCCCUGGUGUAGGCCUGGGAAGCAGACUAGUGUUAUGCGGAGAUAUAUACAUUGACAGUGACCCCCCAAGACCUAUGGAUGCCAAGAAGGAUAGAACAUUUCAAACAUGCGCAGUUUCCCCAUCUGUAAAAUGGGGGGAUUGGAGCAGAUGAAAAACAGCAGUCGUCUCCACAUCAGCAGGUCGUAGUGCAGGCCGGUUGGACUGAGCGGCAGGUUCCUCAGCGGCUGACCUAGCGCCUGGGGCAGGCACGGGGAUCAGAACAUCUGGCCACCUCAGCCCUGCACCUGAGACUCAGCAUCAAGUGUCUUGGAGCCACGCAAGGUCAUGGGAGGCAGAGACAUCUGUGAGACAACUUCUCAUUGAAAAUGAAUUUGAGAUAAGAAAUUCCAAGAACAUCCCUUUGGCUCGCUAAAUGCAGUUAUGCUGUACUUCAAAAACUAAUUUUAUAACUAACUUUCUGGUGAUUUCAGAGUUUUAUGUGUUUUCCACAGCAGCCUUCAACCCCUCUGCUAAUGAAAGAAAAUGACGAUAGAGAGGCCUUAAAUAAAAAUACCUAAUUACUUAUUUGCCCAAGAGAGCUGAGCAGUCAUGCCUGCCAAGCACCCAGCAUUUUAUUACCCUCUGUGAAAUAUUUUAAUUUUCCUCUAAAAGGAUUUCAAACAAUCCAGUGUUGCAAAUGGCAGAGCUGCCUCCUCCGUAAUUCAAUUUGUUUCUCUGAACUUGAGCUCUGAAAUCGCCUACAUGCGUUAUUAAGAAGCAGCUGCCCUCCCCUCUUCGCUCCUGACUUUUUUCUUCCUGACAAACUCCUGGAGGCUUUGCUCCUGAGUUCCAGCUGCAGGAGGUGUCUGCCCUGUGGGGCUCCUGUUCUGGGGCUGGGACUGGAACUGCUUGGAGGGAGGGGCUUCAGCUCCCUUCCCCCCUCCCCGGGGGAGGGGGAAGAAAUAAGAUGCUCUUGCUACACACCCACUGAAGCCAGGCCUGGAGCUGCUGCAUGCAUUUCGGAUCAGUUCAGAAUCCCCCUCCUGUGCCUCCUUUCUGCCCUCCCCUCUGCGCACACACACACACACACACACACACACACACACACAAACACACACACACACACACACACACACACACACACACACACACACACCAGCCUUGGGUGUUAAGGCCCUGAGCCAUGCAGGGUGUAGCCAUGGGCCUAUCAUAGCUGGACCAAUGAAUGCUUCUGUCUUUUGGUACUGGGGAGUGGAGUGAAUUCAGUAAAAAUCAAUACAAGCUGAUUUGAAGAGCUACAAACAAUAAAUACAGUUAGGCAAACAAUGGGAUUAAAGGUCUGGUGAGAGGGCUCAGCUGGUAAAGGUGCCUGCUGCCAAGUCUGAAAACCCAAGUUCAAGCCCCAGAAGCCACAUGGUUGAAGGAGAGAGCUGACUCCACAAAGCUGCCCUCUGACCUCAGCACGUAUGCUAUGGCAGGUGCAGACCUGCACUCACACACAGCACGCACUUACACCCAUAAAUAUAUAAAGUUAAAACCAAAUAUCCAGCAGGCAUCACCUCACACCCAUUAUGAUGCUUCUAUUCAAUGACAGAAGCUUCCAGACAUGACACAUGUUGGCACGGAUGUGAAGUGUUGGUAGGAACAUGAAACAGACCCUGCAGAAAGCCGGAAGCCCCCGAAACACUUGAUCUAGAGAAACGGUGUCACACAGCAAAGUGUACCUCUGGCCACCUUAAAACAAUGGCUGCCAGGGACUCAAAGAGACCUUAGUGCAUUCACAUCCAUGGCAACUGAGCCGUGGAAGCAACGGGCAGCUGAAUGGCCUACACACAAGGAAUAAUACCGGUCUUAAAUAGGAAAGGCAUUCUGACAUCUGCUAUUACAUGGGUGAAGUCGAGGACAUUAUGCUGAGAGAAAUAAGCCAGACACGAAUGGUCUGAUCUUAAGAGGCGUCAACUCCUAGAGAUGGAGUUCUGAGCAACUGUCCAGAGCUCAAGGAGAGGCGACAGAAGUUGCUGUUAAUGUGGUCAGAGGUUCAGUUUCGCAAAAGGACAAGUGUAUGCAAGGGCUACAGCCAUGGAAAUGCAUGUAAUCCUACUAACACAUGUGCUUACAGAUUGAAAGGUCAGGAUGGCUAAAAUGGUCAGGUCUCAUGGUAUACGUGUCUUAUUACAAUGAAGCAAAACACCCAAGCACAGUCCAUGGUAACCGCUGAUUUGAGUAUUAAAUACCCACUAAGGGUCAAAAACCGUCUUAGAGGCUGACACUGUUAGGAGGUAGAAUCUUUAAGAGGAGUAGAAUAAGUGUCUUAGAGUCACUGAGUGUCUCCCAAAGGGAGACAUUCUAGGAUGCUAGUCCCCCACUCCUGCUCUCUUUGGCUUCCUGCCACCAUGGUGACGGGCUUUCUCUGCCACAUGCAUAUCUCUACCACGAGAUGUGGCCUCACCACAGGCCCAAAGCAAAGGCCCCACUGAUCACAGACAGAAACCAACCAAAACACCUAUCCCUUGCUCCUAGCUGGUUUCUCUUGGGCAUCUGUUACAUAGACACCGAGGUUGAUCAAGUGCAAUUUGGUUAUUUCCACAUGACUGGCUUCCUGGGACUAAAACAUCAUCCUCAAGGACAGACACUGGCAAUGAAAAGCCCCUCCCUCGCCAUGUCUGGAUUAGUCACCAGACAUGGCCAUUUUACUCCAAGUUGCCUCUGUUUUCUGCUGAACCAGUUGCUCACAGGCCCCUCAGGCUGCAUCCUCAUGGCUCCCAGGAGACGGAGCGUCUAUCUCCACUUUACAGCUGUGGGCUCUGAGGCCCCAGGAGGACAUGUGGAAUUGCUCACAGGCAGUUGAGCCAGGACCUGUCCCUGGAUCUGUACUCACAACUGUUGGUGGCUUCUGUCUGGAACACUGUCACUGAAGUGACAGUCAGGGGGAUCGUACACUGGACUCAUUUCUGCCUGCUUCCAGCUUCUGGGCCAGCCAGAGACCAACUAUACAGUUAAUUGAUAAAUGUACUGUCUGUGUGGAGAAUUGCCAACAAGAGACGAGAUAGGGUGAAUUUUGGCACAAUUUGUCCUCCAGGAUUGUCACCUAAGGGCCUGCCUUCCCAAGAGCUUCUCAGAUACCAGGUUUCUUGAAGAAAGCAAGGAGACUAAGCCAUCCAGUGAGCCACACCCUCGAGCCACGAGAUCUCUCUGAGAGGCUGGGGAACAGGAGGAUGAUCAGGUGUCCAGGACACAAGAGUCCCUGUGACGUGGGAAACAAAAUCCAUGGGAACCUUCCCAAGCUCCUUAUGCUGUGUAUAUAUUGCUCAUGUGUGUGUAUUGCUCAUAUGGACUGAGAUCUGCCAGUGAAUAGCGUGUGGUGUGUUUUGAUGGUAUAUAGUAAGUACAUGUAUGUAUGGUGCACGUAGUGGCUGAGAGAGGUGUUAUAUAUUACAAGUGAGUAUCAUGUGUGCUUUGUGCUACGUAGUAUGUGUAUGCUGUGGAAUGUGUGUUGUAUGUGGUGGAUGAUGGUGAUAUAUAUAUAUAUAUAUAUAUAUAUAUAUAUAUAUAUAUACACAUACACACUGUAUGUUGUAUGUACCAUGUGCUAUGAUGUGUGAGUGGCAUGAGUGUAUGGGGUAGAUAGAGUUCAUUCUAUGUAUGCUGUUCUUUGUGAUGCGUUAUAUGGUGUUGAAAGAAAAAUGAAUUAUGUAUUGUAUAGAAUUUGUUGUGUGUGCUGUGCUGUAAGAUAUGCAUGUGAUGUGUAUUACAUGUUAUAGUAUCCUAUGUUAUAUGGAAUAUGUAGCAACAUGUAGUAUGUGUCUUGGCAUGAGAAUGUGUGCUGGUCUGAAAUGUGUACUAAUGUGAGGUAUGUGCUUGUGUGUGCUGGUGUGAGGUAUGUGCUGGUGUGUGCUGGAGUGAGAUGUGUGCUAGUGUGAGUUUUGUGCUGGUGUGAGGUGUGUGCUUGUGUGAGGUAUAUGCUGGUGUGAGGAAUGUGCUGGUGUGCUGGUAUCAGGUUCUCCUGGUGUGAGGUGUGUGCUGGUGUGUGCUGGUGUGAGGUAUAUGCUGGUGUGAGGUGUGUGCUGGUGUGAGGUGUGUACUGGUGUGAGGGUUCAGGUUGCAUGUGUAGUGUGGGGCACAGGCCAAAGGGUAGGAUGCUGGGAUUACUAGCUCUGUCAGAACUGGGCUCCUUUCCUCUUGACGUCUUUCUCCAGAGGUCCUGUUUGUAAAAGAUGAAAACAAGUAUUGCUACUGAGUUUAAUAUGGGGUCUCUUGUUAUUUCACCCACUCCAAGCUGCCACCUCCUUCAUGCCUGCAAAGUUGGUUUCUCCACACUGAAGAGGUCUUGGCCAGAGUCUGGCUGCAGCAUGUGGUCUGACUAGAAGCUGUUAAGACUCCCUGAAGAUAGACUGAACCCUGGCUUUGAAGCCGGGACCUCAAGGGCAUCUCCACUUCUCACAGGCACGUCACUCCCUCAGCCUCCCUAUCCUCAGCCUGGCCCCAUGACUGAUACAAUCAACAGAACCUUUCUACCUUGUAGGUAUAUUCCUCAGGCUCCCUGGUCAGGUGGCACAAUAACUACCUUCAGAACAGGCACCCCAGGAACCUGGGACUUCUAACAAGGCACAACUGGGCUCAUCUGUUCAGAAACUACUUGUCAGGGCUGUGCUCCUUCCGAUUCAGGUUGUGUUCUGGAGAGAUUAAUUUUCUCUCCGUAGUUCAUGGAGGCUCUGGGUUCUCACAUGGCUUUAGCUCCACACACAGCCACCCUCUGUGUAAUAUUCAAAUGUUAAGUAGCAGGCCUGUCAGGAGCUUCCACUAAGGCAGGAGUGAACGUGGGCGGAAGAGCGUGUCUUCCUGAGAAGGCAGAGAGCUGUUUGAAUGGGAGGAAAGCCAUUUCCACUGGAACACUUGGCUGUGUCUCUGAGAAGGGCAGGGUGACAAGAAGCCAGAAGUCUUGAGGUUCAAUGAGCUGGAGACAGGAGAGGCAAAGGCCUGUGUGUAAAGAGCUUUCAAUAGGAUUUGUGAGGCAGGGAAGCAAUUUGUGACAAAAAGGUGACUCAUGCAGCUUUCCUUGGAGGUAAAGUCUAGAUCAUAACCAUGCACGGUAAGAGUGGAAAGAAAAUGCCCCCGUUUUCUGAAGCGAUGGUGCUUGAGCUUGAGGCUGGCCUGCAGGAUCUCUCCCAGCCUCUCUGCCUGCCACCUCAGCCCUCAAAACCCUCCACCUGUGCUUCGGUGGGUCUCCUGAGGAUGAGGGGUUGGGGAGACUAUCAGAGGCUCAUCUGUGGCCUAAUACCCCAUCUCUCACCAUGUUUCCAGAACACGUUGAGUAUCUCUAGAUUUGAGGGUCUCUGUGGAGCUGUAUUUCCCUGGAAUGCCAUGGCCCCUCUGCCUCUCAGAGGUUUCCUUUGGAUUCUCUGGGGCCCUCUGCUAUGUGGUGACCAGGAACCAUUGUAAACCUCUGAUCCUUGUCUUAAGACCUUCUAGAGUCUAGGACUACGGGUGUGAGCAUCACAUCUGUUUCAUGCAGUGCUGGGGAUUGAAUACAGGGCUUCCUGAGUGCUAGGUGAGCAUGUAGAGAGAGAACUUCUUAUGUGAUGUAUGGAAGCAUCUCCUAUCAAUAAAAUGCUGUUGGCCUAUUAGCUUACACAGGGAAUAGGGAGGUGGAAAUUCCAGUACACAGAGAGGAUUUCUGGGAUAUUCACAUGUGGGAGAGAUUGGCCCCAAACUCUGAGGAAGACGGUCACAUGAACCUGAGGAGAGGUAACCGACCACGUGGUGGGGAUUAGAAUAGAAUAAACGGGAUAAUUGAGUUAUGAGCUAGUGGGAACAAGCCAAAGCUUUUGGCCUAGGCAAUUAUUCAUAAAUAAUUCACUCUCAGAGUCGUUAUUUCAGGAACUCAUGUGCGGGUGGAAAAGCCUGUGGUUACAGGAGCACUCCACCAGUGAGCAAUACCACCCGAGGCUCUGCUUGUUUGGUUUCUAAAGAAUAAAAGAUACAUGCAAACCAAGAGGUCUCUGGGUCACCGAAGGUGGUUUUGGAAGAGUCCAGUUCAGCAGCCGGGAGGCAGCAAAUUGAGUCCUAGUGAGGACAGUGACCUCCUCCUGAGGUCAGUAUCUGCCUCUUGCUGCCAUGGAAAGAAGUAUGGGGAUGUUACUGAGACUGCCACAUUCCCACAUAAUCACUGGCCAGUGUAGCCAUCCACCUAUGCACUUCCACCCCCCUGUGCACAUUCUUCCUCACCUCCAUCUAUCCAGUCACUCACCCAUGCUCAUCCACCCAUCCAUGUUUUACAUUCACUGAUUCCUACCCAUCAGUCCAAUCAUCUUCCCACCUACCUACCCACCUACCAUAUCCAUGUAUCCAUCCAUCCUUAUCCAUCUACCCAUAUCUACCCAUCUACUUACCUAUCCACCCACAUCUCUGUUCCACUAACUAUGCACUUAGAAUAACCCAUAUCUAUUUACCCAUCCUCCUGCCCAUCCAUAUAUCCAUCCACCCACCUAUUCACCCAUCUGUCUCCAUCCAUCCACCCACCCAUCCAUCCACCCACCCGUAUAUCCAUCCACCCAUCCACCCACCUGUAUAUCCAUCCAUCCAUCCACCCACCCACCCAUCUGUCCACCCAUCUAUUUGUAUACAUAUGUCCAUCUAUCCAACAGUCCAUCCAUCUGCCUACCAUAUCCAUCCAUUCAUUCCCCACUCAUAUUCAUCAAUCUACUCAACAUCCAUCAAAAUCCAGCCAUCCCUCAUCUGUCCACCCACAAUCUUCCAUCCAUCCCUACCCAUAGCAUCACUUUCUCCCUCCCUCUCUCUCCUUCACCACACUGACCACACAUUUAUUUACUUAUGAAGUCAUUUACUCUACCCCCUUCUAGUAUUUCUCAGACGUCUAUUCCAGUGGCCCAGAGGUAACUUAAUUGCUGCUCACUGUCGAGGAGCACACAGCCCUCAGGAGACAUCACGGACACAGAACAGCUUUUCACACAGAGGGUUAAACGGCAUGUAGGAGUCAUGCCCUGGCCAGAGCCCUGUGUCCUUGGCCACGCUUUAGUCCCAGUCCCAGUGGAAAGAAACUGGAUCUUUCCUGUUAUUUUCUUUUGCAUGUUUCAGCCUGUCCUUCAGUUUGGAGUACCAGCCUUGGCUUGCAGGUAGAUGUGCUGGGUAGUUUUAACUUGACAUGCGCAGUGUCAUUUGAGAAGAGAAACUUUUCAUGUCUUUGUUCUCGUGUUUAAGAGACUGGGUUUCUCUGUGUAGCUCUGGCUGUCCUGGAACAAGCUCUGUAGACCAGGCUACCCUUGAACUCAGAGAUCCAUCUGCUUCUGCCUUCCGAGGGCUGGAUUUAAAGGUAUGUAUGCUUGGGAAGAGGGACUUUCAAUUUCUAUGAAAUUUCAAAUGCCUUCAUAAAGUUGGCCUACAGGCAUGUAUGUAGUGCACUUUCUUAAUGAUUAAUGUGGGAAGGCCCAGCACAUGGUGGGUGGAGCCACCCUUGGGUUGGUGGUCCUGGGUAAUAUAAGAAAGCAAGAUAAGCAAGCCAGUGAGGGGCACUUCUCCAUGGCCCCUGCAUCAGUUCCUGCCUUGGCUUCCUUCAGUGGUGGACUGUUACCCAGAAGUGUAAGCUGAAUAAACCCUUUCCUUCCCAAGGUCAUAGUGUUUUAUCACAGCAAUGGAAACCAGUGAAGACAAUGGACUUCUAUCUCUUCUUGGGGUUCACCUGGACCAGGAAAAGAACUCCCAAGAUACCCUUAGUCUUAUGUGGAUAGAAGGGCCCGGGUGUGAAGCUGACUCUCUGGACUCCAGGCCUUUCCAAGCCCAGCACAGGGGGUUGGGGUAUGUUGGUUGAGUCUUCUGAUUUGGGCCUUCUGAUGGAGCAGGUAUCUUUAGGGCCUGGCUUUGCCUCUAGCUGCCUGUCAGGCUUUGGGAAAGACCCCUUUCCUGACUAGAGCAAUGCCCAGUGCCUGAUUGUUUCUCAGCCUCUGCUUUAUUACCAGUGGAGUCUUCUUAGCAAGGUGAUUCACUGAUGAAUCAAGACAGCAAUUCUACCACAUGCCAACCAUAUGCCAGGCCCUGAGCUGGCACCUGCCACUCACAAACCCGCUGCCUACCACAAUCCAAUUCCCCCCUGAGGAACCGAGGAACAGAGAAGUUGAGUAACUUUUUUCAUUUACACAGUUAGGGAGGGAUUUGAAGCCAGGCCAGAUCAGCCAUAUUAACCCCUACCCACUUAUACCAUUAGCUCCUAAGCUAAUGGAUGUUGUUGGCUUAUGGCAAAGAGAACUGUAUGCACAGAGAGCAUUGUUUUGGAAAGAGCCAGAAAGAGGCACAGGGGUCGUUGGGUGCCAAGCUUUGUGACAUAGCAAGGGAACCUGAUGCUUAAGAGGUAUGUGUCCUUCUGACGUGUUACAAACCGAGUGCCCCAGAUCCUGGCAAGUCUGAAGACAUUCUAAAGUAGCUCUCCCCAACCUUCCUAAUGCUGUGUCCUUUAAUACAGUUCUCAUGCUGUGGUGACUCCAAACAUAACACUAUUUUUAUUAAGACUUCAUAAUUGCAAUUUUGCUACUGUUAUCAAUUGUAAUGUAAGUAUCUGAUAUGCAGGCUACCUGAUAUACGACCUUUGUCCUUCAGUCCCCAAAGGCAUUGUGAACCAUAGGUAGAGAACCUUUGUUCUAAAGGCACACAUGUCCCUCCCUUUGGCUUAUGAGACUAUUGAAAGAUGUUAAGAAACUGGAAAUUUCCCUGGGACUCUUAGACUGUGAGAAGAAAACAGCUGAAGCCCAUUGCUAGCCUGGGGUGGGGGCUAGGGAGUGGGUGAGGUGGUGUAGUUUUCUGAAGAAGAUCUCAUAACGUUCUGACUGGAGCCCAGACAAUGAUGGAUCGGUGAUGGGGGGUGCUGGUGGGGAAUGACACCCUGACGAGGGCUGCCUAACUAUGAAUACCCCUUGCCUUCUUUUUAAACAAAGCUCAUGUCAGGGUUUGGGGUAGGAGUGGGUCUCCUUUUGUUCCUCUUCCCAAUAUGGCCAUAUUGAACGAACCUCCCCCUUCUGCUUUCCUCUAUUAAGCUUGUCUUUGAUUGGACUACUGAGGAUGCGUGGGCAAACCUGGCUUGUAAGGCUGUCAGUAUGUAGACUCUGGCCUAGCCUAGCUAACAUGGCUUCUUCCCCAGCCUCAGCAGCUGCACCUUCACCCUGGGUAGACUGUUGACCUCUGACCUUGAUGCCACCUACACACAGCAGCCCAUCUUAUCUGAAGACACCACCAGAGUCUCCUCCAGCCUCUGCAUCGAGCUCCAUGGGGAUUCAUCACUGGAGCCGGACGCUUUCCUGCAAUCUUCUAGACAGAUCCCCAAACUCCCUCUGACUAGUAUCUUACUCCAAGCCCAACGUGGCCACCCUCCACCACCCUGCUCUGGGACUGCUGCUCCUCUCUGCCAAAUCUGCAGGACAAAAUCAUCAACAGUGUUUCAUUAUUCUGCACUGGGAACAGAAUAAAGCAUCACUGAUCUCCCUUGCUUCUGAAUUGGGGGAAAGGA